rnacentral:sRNA from 1 species
UGUAUUAUUUUAAAUGCUAGACACAUAG